UUUUGCGUGACGCCCGACGAAUCUGGCGAAAAUCUGGCGGGAUAACUCACAGCUGUCUGGCACAAAAACCAAUCGGUUCAAUCGGUUGAACCGUGCACGACCGGUUUGUUGCAUAUUCGCCAGAAUUCUGGCAACAUUCUUGGGCCAGUCGGGGGGAAAAUCUGCCAGACGUCUUGCGCAGCUAAGUGCAGCGCCCAAUACAAAACGCCCGCCAGGCGCUCCCCUUUUCCGUCUGGGUUGUUGAACAUGUUCUAGCUGUCAAAACUGUGUAAAUUUUCAACACAGAUCUGUGUAAAAAGUUACACAGAUUUUCGAUCAGCUUCCCUUUUAAAUCUGGGUAAAAAAGUGUUGGCAUUUUUUCAGCAGUCAGAGCAACCAGCAGUUAGCAAAGAUGGCGGAUAGCGGACCUAUUGCACUGGAAUCGUUGCCGUAUCCUAGGAAUUGUUAGUUGGUCAAGAGUCGGCGGAUGAUGCGUUGAUUGAAUGAAUGAUGUCAAUGAAGCCAAAUUCCUGCGUCCGAAAGCCUAGAUGUGCAGGCCCUGAAGUGGAACGCUCUGCCAGGAACGUAUACAUCAUCGCUCCAAGAAAACUAGAUCACUUUCCGGGACCAAACUAGCUCCAACAUCGUCCAAUAUGAUAUCUACCGAAAGAUGUAAAAUAAUUCAGCGACAGACACUGUUGAACAUCAAUAAACAUCAAUCUUGUUUUAUUUUGAUUUAAUUAAAGUAUUUAAAA
rnacentral:lncRNA from 1 species